rnacentral:rRNA from 1 species
CAGUGGGAGGGGUUUUAUGCCCUGACCGCGUACCUCUUGCAUAAUGGGUCUGUGACUUAAUGUAUCAAGCAAGCUUAAGCCGUUAGGUGUAGGCGCAGCGAAAGCGAGUCUGAAUAGGGCGACUUAGUUUGAUGCAUUAGACCCGAAACCCGGCGAUCUAGGCAUGACCAGGAUGAAGGUGGGGUAACACCCACUGGAGGUCCGAACCGAUUAACGUUGAAAAGUUACCGGAUGAGUUGUGUUUAGGGGUGAAAGGCCAAUCAAGCCGGGAAAUAGCUGGUUCUCCGCGAAAACUAUUGAGGUAGUGCCUCGGACGAACACCCUAGGGGGUAGAGCACUGGAUGGAUGCGGGGGUCGCGAGAUCUACCAACUCUAACCAAACUCCGAAUACCUAGGAGUGAUAUCCGGGAGACAGACGGCGGGUGCUAAGGUCCGUCGUCAAAAGGGAAACAGCCCUGACCUACAGCUAAGGUCCCCAAGUCACGUCUAAGUGGGAAAGCAUGUGGGAAUCCCAAAACAACCAGGAGGUUGGCUUAGAAGCAGCCAUCCUUUAAAGAAAGCGUAACAGCUCACUGGUCUAAACAAGGGUUCCUGCGGCGAAGAUGUAACGGGGCUAAAGACGUGCACCGAAGCUUAGGGUGUGGAUUUAUCCACGCGGUAGCGGAGCGUUCCGUAAGUCUGUGAAGCGGUCUGGUAAUGGGCCGUGGAGAUAUCGGAAGUGCGAAUGCAGACAUGAGUAGCGAUAAAAAGGGUGAGAUGCCCUUUCGCCGAAAGACCAAGGGUUCCUGCGCAAGGCUAAUCCGCGCAGGGUGAGCCGGCCCCUAAGACGAGCCCGAAGGGGGUAGUCGAUGGGAACCACGUUAAUAUUCGUGGGCCUGGUGGUGUGUGACGGAUCUCGUGUGUUGUACGUCCUUAACGGAUUGGACGUGCUUCGAAGAGGUUCCAGGAAAUAGCCCCACCGUAUAGACCGUACCCGAAACCGACACAGGUGGUCAGGUAGAGUAUACCAAGGCGCUUGAGAGAAGUGUCCUGAAGGAACUCGGCAAAUUGCCUCCGUACCUUCGGAAGAAGGAGGCCCUGGCAUUGCGCAAGCAGUGUCAGGGGGCACAGGCCAGGGGGUAGCGACUGUUUAGCAAAAACACAGGGCUCUGCUAAGUCGGCUUCAAGACGACGUAUAGGGCCUGACGCCUGCCCGGUGCCUGAAGGUUAAGUGGAGGGGUGCAAGCUCCGAAAUGAAGCCCAGGUAAACGGCGGCCGUAACUAUAACGGUCCUAAGGUAGCGAAAUUCCUUGUCGGGUAAGUUCCGACCUGCACGAAUGGCGUAA